AAAGAACUCUCUCCAGAUAUCUAGGAGAAAACCCAGGAAAACACGUGUGAGCUCUUUACGGGGAAGACGGGAAGGCCUGAGAGACGUGUGUGCGUGGAGAGGGUGUCGGGUCCACAGAGGGGAAGACCCAGUGCGUGUGCACGUUGGCCCCAUGAAUCCGCAGCUUCAUGCAGUGGUAGGUCAGUUUCAUGGUGGCAAGAUUCACCUUCAGACGCCACAAGGUCCUGGGGAAGAAGAGGUCCUGUCUCCCGACAAGGGCGGGAAGCAGUCCCAGGAGCCACCAGAGGCCUUGUCUUGCUGCUGACUGGCAGAAAUGGCCAGGUUGGCCACGCCUGACUCAGACCAGGCUCGCCCCAGGGCUGGGUGGGAGUCAGUGUCCCUGAGCAGUGAGCCCUGAGCAGCACUGUG
rnacentral:lncRNA from 1 species